AAAAAAUUUGUUGAAUACUUCCUGAAUCGGUCUUUAUCUGUUUCAUGUCCCUCGGAUGCGCUUCUGAACAAGAAAAUCUCUCUUAAUCUCCGUUUUCUGGAAGAACCUUUGUUUGAAGAAAGCGAAGGCUU